rnacentral:rRNA from 1 species
UACAGAGGUCCCAAGCGUUGUUCGGAUUCACUGGGCGUAAAGGGUGCGUAGGUGGUCGGGUAAGUCUGAUGUGAAGUCUCUGGGCUCAACCCAGAAAUGGCAUUGGAUACUAUUCGGCUAGAGGAGUGGAGGGGGGACUGGAAUACUUGGUGUAGCAGUGAAAUGCGUAGAUAUCAAGCGGAACACCGGUGGCGAAGGCGGCCUUCUGGACAGUGACUGACGCUGAGACGCGAAAGCGUGGGGAGCAAACAGG